rnacentral:lncRNA from 12 species
AUGUGGAAGUGUAGAGUGUGUGCAGUCGUAGAAUCCAGUAGGUCUCAGUUGCUUAAACAUUACAGACUAAAGCAUAGGCAUUAUAGUUGUAGCAGGCGUUAUCCAUGUCCGUAUUUGACUUGCCCCGUUACCUUCAAAACAUGGAAUAGCCUUUGUGCACAUUUAAGUAGAGUCCACAAAACACACAGAUCACAAGAACAAAUACCUUUGUCAACAUUUAGUUGCCCUGUAUGUGCAUGUAGUGAUCUUGCAUCUGAGAGGGAUUUUUUUCUGCAUUUGAAUAGCCAUUUACGGAGUAAUGAGACUGUCCAGUGUGUAUUUAUUGGUUGUAGCUUUCAGACAAAUAUAUAUGCAACUUAUCAGUCUCACAAGAACAGAAAGCAUAAUCCACAUUCAGUGAAAGAUUUUAAGCCUGGUGUAGUUAAAACUGCAGGGGUAUCUGAGGACUUGCAAGGUGACGUUUUGGAGGAUGAUGAUGAUACGUGUACUGUAGAUGCAACGGUCAGUCUUUAUCAAAGCAGUGAUUCUGUAGUACUGGACUUGUCAAAAAUUAUUGAGACUAAUUUCGCUGCAGCAUUGUUAAAAUUAGAGCAUGUUAGACAUGUGCCAGCUACUGCAGUCAAUGAGUUUUUAGAGGAAUUGCAUUUUUUGCAUACAUCUGCAUCAGCGCCCCUCUCGAUUAAAAAUAUUCAGGAAGUGUUGCAGAGCCAUAACAUUAUUAUUGAUAAACUAGUUGUUCAGGAAAUCGCUUCAGCAGCCUCCACCUCUACUCCUUUGUUCAAAGCUAUUGGGAAGGGUGGUCCUCUUAGCUCUGAUUACCAGCGCAAGAGGUAUUACAAAGACAAUUUUCAUGUUGUAGAGCCAACUGAAUAUAUUCUUGAUUUUAAAGAAAACAGAACCUAUCAGUAUAUCCCCAUACUGCAAUCUUUACAGCAGAUCUUGAAAAGAAGAGAUGUAGUGGACAGCAUUGUUCAGAACCACAGAACUCAGCAGUACAGUGAAGAUUGUCAAGAGUACAGGACAUUUCAGGAUGGCAAAGUUUACAAAGAGAACACAUUUUUCUCAGGGGAGGAGUUGAGAUUGUCUUUAAGUUUGUAUGUGGACGAUUUUGAAGUUUGCAAUCCCCUUGGUACCUCUCGGAAGAUACACAAACUCUGUGCUAUUUAUUGGAUUUUAAACAAUCUACCUCCUGGAUCACAUUCAGCUUUGUCUAAUAUUUACUUAGCAGUGCUUUGUAAAACUGAGGAUGUGAAGAAAUUUGGGUACCAUAGAGUUCUGGAACCUCUCAUUCAAGAUUUGCGUACUCUUGAGCAACAUGGAGUCUUUGUCUCUCAAUUGGGAAAAUUUCUCAAAGGUGCUCUUCAGUUUGUAGUAGCAGAUAACCUUGCAGCGCAUGGGAUAGCAGGCUUUAUUGAAAACUUUUCUGGGGAAUAUUUCUGUCGAUUUUGCUUAGCGAAACGCUCAGAAAUUCAGACAAAUGAGGUCCGUUCUGGUUCUUUUGUACGAAGGUCAAAAGAAAUUCAUGAAUCUCAUGUGAAGCUAGCUCAGCAAACAAAUUCUCCUUCCUUUGGUGUUAAAAAAGAGUGUGUGUUCACCAAGCAUCUCGAACACUUCUGUGUUACCUCUGGCUAUCCACCGGAUAUUUUGCACGACCUUUUGGAGGGAAUCGUGCCAAUUGAGAUUGCACAGUGCCUUUCUUUUCUUGUAUCUAAAAAAUAUUUCACAGUGGAAACUCUCAACAAGAGCAUUGCUAAAUUUCCUUAUACAGGAACAGAUAAGACAAACAAACCGCAUUUAAUACCACAUAACUUUGCAAGCAGAAACACAAUAGGAGGCAACGGACAUGAAAACUGGACGCUGUUAAGGUUGCUCCCAUUGAUGUUAGGUAAUUUAAUUCCAGAGGUUGAAUUGGCAUGGCAAGUUCUUUUGGAUUUGAAGGACAUUGUGGAACUUGCUGUUGCUAGGUUUCACACGGAUGACACAAUUGCUUAUCUUCAAUGCAAAAUCACUGAACAUAGACAGAAGUACACAGAGCUUUUUCCAGUAACUCUGUUGCGACCAAAACAUCAUUUUGUAGAGCACUAUGCUGAGCUCAUUAAGUUGUAUGGUCCACUUGUAGGGCAGUGGACCAUGCGCUAUGAAGCAAAACACAGCUUCUUUAAGCAGGUUUCACGGCAUACAAAAUGCUUCAAGAACAUUCCACUGUCAUUAGCAGUGAAACACCAGCUGAUGAUUUCAUAUUACAUGAGGCCUUGUAGCCUACAGAAGACUGACUUUGAAGCCCAUGACGUUUCAACAGUUUCAGUUGAUGUUUUGAACCAAGCAGCUGCUAAGGAAAUUAAGUUGAGGUAUCCAAGUGCAAGUGAAGUACACCUGACCAAAAGUGUGAUCAGUAAGGGUGUUGAGUUCAGAAAUGGAAUGGUAGUUGCACAAGGCUCUACAAGUGGGCUGCCAGACUUCUGUGAGAUCCUUCAAAUUUGCUUGGUUCAGGAGAGUAUGUGCUUCAUUGUGAAGAGGCUGUCAUCAUGGUACAGAGAACACUACCGUGCCUUUGAAAUACAUGCUACAAGUGACAUUACCUUGCUUGAAGUUGCUGAUUUACCAGAUCCAUACCCUUUGGCAGCUUACUCCACUGGAUCUGUGAGGAUGGUUACUUUGAAACGAUUCCUGACCGUGACAGGUUUGUGGUCCAGCACCCUUAUUGUUCCCUUGUGGUUCUAUAUGUACGUUAUGCCCAAGCAGUUUAAGCGAGCGAGGUUUUUUUUUUUUUUUUUUCUUUUUUUUUUUUUUUUCUUUCUUUUCUUUCUUAUGCUUGGCUUAAUCAUUGUGCAAAAAUGUAUAUGGCUCUGCAAAACAUUCUUCUUGUUUUGGCCUGUGCGCAUUAGGUGUAGGGGUGUAUGA